rnacentral:rRNA from 1 species
AUUGAACGCUGGCGGCAUGCCUUACACAUGCGAGUCGAACGGCAGCACGGGUGCUUGCACCUGGUGGCGAGUGGCGAGCGGGUGAGUAAUACAUCGGAACAUGUCCUGUAGUGGGGGAUAGCCCGGCGAAAGCCGGAUUAAUACCGCAUACGAUCUACGGAUGAAAGCGGGGGACCUUCGGGCCUCGCGCUAUAGGGUUGGCCGAUGGCUGAUUAGCUAGUUGGUGGGGUAAAGGCCUACCAAGGCGACGAUCAGUAGCUGGUCUGAGAGGACGACCAGCCACACUGGGACUGAGACACGGCCCAGACUCCUACGGGAGGCAGCAGUGGGGAAUUUUGGACAAUGGGCGAAAGCCUGAUCCAGCAAUGCCGCGUGUGUGAAGAAGGCCUUCGGGUUGUAAAGCACUUUUGUCCGGAAAGAAAUCCUUGGCCCUAAUACGGUCGGGGGAUGACGGUACCGGAAGAAUAAGCACCGGCUAACUACGUG